AGCGCAUACGGUGGAUGCCUUGGCAGUCAGAGGCGAUGAAAGACGUGGUAGCCUGCGAAAAGCUUCGGGGAGUCGGCAAACAGACUUUGAUCCGGAGAUCUCUGAAUGGGGGAACCCACCUAGGAUAACCUAGGUAUCUUGUACUGAAUCCAUAGGUGCAAGAGGCGAACCAGGGGAACUGAAACAUCUAAGUACCCUGAGGAAAAGAAAUCAACCGAGAUUCCCUUAGUAGUGGCGAGCGAACGGGGAUUAGCCCUUAAGCUUCAUUGAUUUUAGCGGAACGCUCUGGAAAGUGCGGCCAUAGUGGGUGAUAGCCCCGUACGCGAAAGGAUCUUUGAAGUGAAAUCGAGUAGGACGGAGCACGAGAAACUUUGUCUGAACAUGGGGGGACCAUCCUCCAAGGCUAAAUACUACUGACUGACCGAUAGUGAACCAGUACCGUGAGGGAAAGGCGAAAAGAACCCCGGAGAGGGGAGUGAAAUAGAACCUGAAACCGUAUGCGUACAAGCAGUGGGAGCCUACUUGUUAGGUGACUGCGUACCUUUUGUAUAAUGGGUCAGCGACUUAUAUUCAGUGGCAAGCUUAACCGUAUAGGGUAGGCGUAGCGAAAGCGAGUCUUAAUAGGGCGUUUAGUCGCUGGGUAUAGACCCGAAACCGGGCGAUCUAUCCAUGAGCAGGUUGAAGGUUAGGUAACACUGACUGGAGGACCGAACCCACUCCCGUUGAAAAGGUAGGGGAUGACUUGUGGAUCGGAGUGAAAGGCUAAUCAAGCUCGGAGAUAGCUGGUUCUCCUCGAAAGCUAUUUAGGUAGCGCCUCAUGUAUCACUCUGGGGGGUAGAGCACUGUUUCGGCUAGGGGGUCAUCCCGACUUACCAAACCGAUGCAAACUCCGAAUACCUAUGAGUACUAUCCGGGAGACAGACUGCGGGUGCUAACGUCCGUAGUCAAGAGGAAAACAAUCCAGACCGCCAGCUAAGGCCCCAAAAUCAUAGUUAAGUGGGAAACGAUGUGGGAAGGCAUAGACAGCUAGGAGGUUGGCUUAGAAGCAGCCACCCUUUAAAGAAAGCGUAAUAGCUCACUAGUCGAGUCGGCCUGCGCGGAAGAUGUAACGGGGCUCAAACCACACACCGAAGCUGCGGGUGUCACGUAAGUGACGCGGUAGAGGAGCGUUCUGUAAGCCUGUGAAGGUGAGUUGAGAAGCUUGCUGGAGGUAUCAGAAGUGCGAAUGCUGACAUGAGUAACGACAAUGGGUGUGAAAAACACCCACGCCGAAAGACCAAGGGUUCCUGCGCAACGUUAAUCGACGCAGGGUUAGUCGGUUCCUAAGGCGAGGCUGAAAAGCGUAGUCGAUGGGAAACAGGUUAAUAUUCCUGUACUUCUGGUUACUGCGAUGGAGGGACGGAGAAGGCUAGGCCAGCUUGGCGUUGGUUGUCCAAGUUUAAGGUGGUAGGCUGAAAUCUUAGGUAAAUCCGGGGUUUCAAGGCCGAGAGCUGAUGACGAGUCGUCUUUUAGAUGACGAAGUGGUUGAUGCCAUGCUUCCAAGAAAAGCUUCUAAGCUUCAGGUAACCAGGAACCGUACCCCAAACCGACACAGGUGGUCGGGUAGAGAAUACCAAGGCGCUUGAGAGAACUCGGGUGAAGGAACUAGGCAAAAUGGUGCCGUAACUUCGGGAGAAGGCACGCUGAUAUGUAGGUGAAGCGACUUGCUCGUGGAGCUGAAAUCAGUCGAAGAUACCAGCUGGCUGCAACUGUUUAUUAAAAACACAGCACUGUGCAAACACGAAAGUGGACGUAUACGGUGUGACGCCUGCCCGGUGCCGGAAGGUUAAUUGAUGGGGUUAGCGCAAGCGAAGCUCUUGAUCGAAGCCCCGGUAAACGGCGGCCGUAACUAUAACGGUCCUAAGGUAGCGAAAUUCCUUGUCGGGUAAGUUCCGACCUGCACGAAUGGCGUAACGAUGGCGGCGCUGUCUCCACCCGAGACUCAGUGAAAUUGAAAUCGCUGUGAAGAUGCAGUGUAUCCGCGGCUAGACGGAAAGACCCCGUGAACCUUUACUGUAGCUUUGCACUGGACUUUGAGCCUGCUUGUGUAGGAUAGGUGGGAGGCUUUGAAGCGUGGACGCCAGUUCGCGUGGAGCCAUCCUUGAAAUACCACCCUGGCAUGCUUGAGGUUCUAACUCUGGUCCGUAAUCCGGAUCGAGGACAGUGUAUGGUGGGCAGUUUGACUGGGGCGGUCUCCUCCUAAAGAGUAACGGAGGAGUACGAAGGUGCGCUCAGCGUGGUCGGAAAUCACGCGUAGAGUAUAAAGGCAAAAGCGCGCUUAACUGCGAGACCCACAAGUCGAGCAGGUACGAAAGUAGGUCUUAGUGAUCCGGUGGUUCUGUAUGGAAGGGCCAUCGCUCAACGGAUAAAAGGUACUCCGGGGAUAACAGGCUGAUACCGCCCAAGAGUUCAUAUCGACGGCGGUGUUUGGCACCUCGAUGUCGGCUCAUCACAUCCUGGGGCUGAAGCCGGUCCCAAGGGUAUGGCUGUUCGCCAUUUAAAGUGGUACGCGAGCUGGGUUUAGAACGUCGUGAGACAGUUCGGUCCCUAUCUGCCGUGGACGUUUGAGAUUUGAGAGGGGCUGCUCCUAGUACGAGAGGACCGGAGUGGACGAACCUCUGGUGUUCCGGUUGUCACGCCAGUGGCAUUGCCGGGUAGCUAUGUUCGGAAAAGAUAACCGCUGAAAGCAUCUAAGCGGGAAACUUGCCUCAAGAUGAGAUCUCACUGGGAACUUGAUUCCCCUGAAGGGCCGUCGAAGACUACGACGUUGAUAGGCUGGGUGUGUAAGCGUUGU
rnacentral:rRNA from 1 species